rnacentral:rRNA from 1 species
AGCGAACGCUGGCGGCAGGCUUAACACAUGCAAGUCGAACGCCCCGCAAGGGGAGUGGCAGACGGGUGAGUAACACGUGGGAACGUACCCUUUGGUUCGGAAUAACUUGGGGAAACUCAAGCUAAUACCGGAUAAGCCCUUAUGGGGAAAGGUUUACUGCCGAAGGAUCGGCCCGCGUCUGAUUAGCUAGUUGGUGAGGUAAUGGCUCACCAAGGCGACGAUCAGUAGCUGGUCUGGGAGGAUGAUCAGCCACACUGGGACUGAGACACGGCCCAGACGCCUACGGGAGGCAGCAGUGAGGGAUAUUGGACAAUGGGGGCAACCCUGAUCCAGCCAUGCCGCGUGAGUGAUGAAGGCCUUAGGGUUGUAAAGCUCUUUUACCCGGGACGAUAAUGACUGUACCGGGAGAAUAAGCCCCGGCUAACUUCGUGCCAGCCGCCGCGGUAA